UACGUAGGGUGCAAGCAUUAAUCGGAUUUAUUGGGCGUAAAGGGCGCGUAGGCGGGGAAGUAAGUCAGAUGUGAAAUCCCGGGGCUCAACCUCGGAACUGCAUUUGAAACUACUUCUCUAGAGGGUAGGCGGAGAAAACGGAAUUCCACAAGUAGCGGUGAAAUGCGUAGAUAUGUGGAAGAACACCGGUGGCGAAGGCGGUUUUCUAGCUUAUACCUG
rnacentral:rRNA from 1 species